CUCUGAACGCCCAGGCGCGAUGACCCAGCGGGACACCUCCCUGGUGCGCGCAAGUCUCCCAAACUUCCUCUCGCCGCCCCGGUCCGGGUCAAUUCAAGGAGAGUAGCAUUCCCUCCCGACAGCAAGGCGGGUGGCGCUGGCCGCCGGGACCCUGCGGGGUGGCGGUAGGCGUCCCAAGGUCACCGCCCUUCGCACCACCCGAGCCCGGACCGCCUCGGAGAGCGGUCUCGUGACUCCAGCGCCCAGCAGCCUCGGCCCUCGGGGCUAGCCCUGCAGCUCGUGGUUGGGGAGCCUGUCCCGGACAGGGGGAAAGGUGGGAGCCCAGGGCCCCCCGGCGCUUGGGGCUGCGUCAGGGCAGGUGUCGGGCUGGGAAGGCCACCUCCGCCCCAAGAGACCCGGGAGCAGCUUAAGUUUGUCCCUACCCGCCCGCUGCUCCCUGCCCAUGCAGGGGCACCCGCUCCCCGCCUCCAAGAAGAGGGUCGGCGCUUCCCGGAGGUGGAUACACCUGAGGAAGGGGGCGGGGCGCCCCUAACGUACCCAGGGCCCGCUCAGCCAGCCGCCCCGUGGCUUGGCCCUCUCUUAGCAGGAACCCCGACGUGUCAGGGAAGGAGAAGGCGUUCUUACCUCCGGGAGACCCUGGCCCUCCGGCCCCUUGGGCAACCCCAUGAUCCGACCGGGCUGUCGUAAGGCGAGAGCGAAGCCCGCCAAGCGUCCGGAGGAAGCUGUCCCUGUCGCGGAGCUGCUACCGGGGCGCUGCUUGAGAGGUGCUCUUCCUGCAUCUUGAGGACAUUUUGCAUUUCGGCUCCCUUCGCUUCUCGCUGGCAUCGGAUACCCCAAGUGGGUCCUGUCUCCUCAGUGAAUCAGACUUCGGAAACUCCCUAGCUUCAGGGUCAGAGUCCAAGUACAGAUGAACUUGAGGAUUCUGAAUGCACGCCCAGCUCUAGCCCUUAGAAACUCACGCUUGGACAGACUUCUCCAUAUACAGUCCAGGAACGGACCCCUUGAGAAGGAAUUCUUCAUGCCGGCUGCCGUCUCCAGCGUCCUGGCCAGUGGCAUCGCGUUCCCAGGAAACCUCGCUUUGGAUAUUGCCCACCACCCCGCCCCAUUCACGGUUUCUGGGUCUUCCUGGAGGAAUGACAUCUCAGAGACAGCGGACUCCUGUGUUCACGUCAUUUUAGCCGCCGCGUCCCUUAUUUGGUGUACCCCUUGUCGGUCCCGGAGGAUGGCAACUAGACAAAAGGUCACAGGCCCCCACACCCGCUCCAUAACGGCUUCUUGGCUUUUUGUUUCUUUCAAGCGAUGAGGAAAGAGAUGACUUCCGUGAAAACUUUUGCUGUAGAAGAGAUCCUUCCCUCUGUGUAUGUGUGUGGGAUCGGAAGUGUCAAGACACUCAGCUCCUUGAGAUCAAAAAGGUUUUGUGUUGGCUUUCCUCCCUUCUUUGCAUCCCUAGCAUCUUUAAAAGAGUAGGCAGGCGCGGUGACACAUGCGUGUAAUCCCAGCACUUUGGCGGUCGAGGCAGGAGGAUGACUUGAACCCAGGAGUUGGAGACCAACCUGGGCAACAUAGUGAGACCUCCGUCUCUACAAAAAAAUGAGAAAAUUAGCCCGGUGCCAGUGGUCCCAGCUAGCCGGUAGGCUGAGGUGGGAGAAUUGCUUGAGCCAGGAAGGUUGAGGUUGCAAUGAGCUAUGAUAACACCACUGCACUCCAGCCUGGGUGACAGAGCAAGACCCUGUCUAAAAAUUAUAUAAAUGUAUGUGUGUAUAUAUACAUGUGUGUGUGUAUAUAUAUGUAUAUGUGUGUGUGUGUAUAUAUAUAUGCAGUGAUGUUUUCUAUUUUAUUUUUAUUUUAUUUUAUUUUUGCACCUUUUGUACUCCUCCUGGAGUUUAUCCUGAUAGACAGCAGUUUGUCUGGAGCCAGAGCUCACAAGUAGUUGGAAGUGCCCUAAGGACGCCAUUUUGUUCUUAAAUAUAACUAGCAAAUAUUACUCAAAACUGUGCACCAUCCCCAACCCCUGGUCCCCAAUAAUUUGAAUAAUGUGAAUAUGCAAGUUAAGGUAUUGAGAUGGGAACCCUCCUGUGUGGUAUAUCUUGCUCUUAUGCUUUGUAAAGCCAAUAAACCUCAAUUUCUACUCU